rnacentral:rRNA from 1 species
UGAUACCGCCCUAGUUCUAACCAUAAACGAUGCCAACCAGCGAUCCGCCUGAGUUACUCAAAUGACUCGGCGGGCAGCUUCCGGGAAACCAAAGUAUUUGGGUUCCGGGGGAAGUAUGGUUGCAAAGCUGAAACUUAAAGGAAUUGACGGAAGGGCACCACCAGGAGUGGAGCCUGCGGCUUAAUUUGACUCAACACGGGAAAACUUACCCGGCCCGGACACUGGGAGGAUUGACAGAUUGAGAGCUCUUUCUUGAUUCGGUGGAUGGUGGUGCAUGGCCGUUCUUAGUUGGUGGAGCGAUUUGUCUGGUUAAUUCCGAUAACGAACGAGACUCUAGCCUAUUAAAUAGGUGCGGGGUUCCCAGCACCUUACAACCUUCUUAGAGGGACAAGCGGCUCCUAGCCGCACGAAACAGAGCAAUAACAGGUCUGUGAUGCCCUUAGAUGUCCGGGGCCGCACGCGCGCUACACUGAAGGAAGCAGCGUGUCUUUAUCCCUGUCUGAAAAGACUGGGUAACCCGUGGAACUUCUUUCGUGAUUGGGAUAGGGGCUUGCAAUUGUUCCCCUUGAACGAGGAAUUCCCAGUAAGCGCGAGUCAUAAGCUCGCGUUGAUUACGUCCCUGCCCUUUGUACACACCGCCCGUCGCUACUACCGAUUGAAUGAUUUAGUGAGGUCUUCGGACCGAUGUCCGGCGCGGCCUUUCGGUUGCGCCGGUCUGUUGGAAAGAUGACCAAACUUGAUCAUUUAGAGGAAGUAAAAGUCGUAACAAGGUUUCCGUA